GACGAACGCUGGCGGCGUGCCUAAUACAUGCAAGUCGAACGCAGUGGGGACGGGUGAGUAACACGUGGGUAACCUCCCAUCAGAGGGGAUAACACUUGGAAACAGGUGCUAAACCGAUACUGAUGGAUGGACCCGCGGUGCAUUAGCUAGUUGGUGAGGUAACGGCUCACCAAGGCCACGAUGCAUAGCGGACGUGAGAGGGUGGUCGGCCACACGGGGACUGGGACACGGCCCAGACGCCUACGGGUGGCAGCAGUGGGGAAUGUUCGGCACUGGGCGAAAGUGUGACCGAGCAACGCCGCGUGAGUGAAGAAGGUUUUCGGAGCGUAAGGCUCUGUUGUUAGGGAAGCGGUAUCUAACCAGAAAGCCACGGCUAACUACGUGCCAGCAGCCGCGGUAAUUC
rnacentral:rRNA from 1 species